UGUUUCCAUCUCGACUUUGCUAUCUUAAAAUCUGCUAUACUGAGAGGUAGUGCCUGGCACCUAGCGGCUAAGGAAUCACCCUCUUUACAUUCAACAGUAAAAUUUGAACUUAAUUUUGGCACCUAAUUAGGAAGUCAUUAACAUAACAAAUAGUAUCUAUCUCAAAUGUGUGCUUUAGGAUAUAUUAGCAAACAAACUGGAAAAAAAAUCAAGGAAGUUUCCCUUUUAAUUUGUUAUACAAAAAAAUGAUAUCCUAAACAACAAGACUUACCUUACACAUUGAUAUUAGCUGGAUCUACGGAUGUUUCUAUAUUGCAUUCAGUAUUAAUUAGGUAUACUACCCAUUAGAAGAGUCGCAGAACACACAUAAACAGCUAUCGUUAUGUGCAAUUUGCCUAUCAUUUUGCUUACAGAAACUGGGUUUUGGCUAAGGAUCAAUGACAAAUGAACAAAAUGAACAAAAUUCCAUAAUAGUCCAACAACAAUAAUAGUCCAAUGAUCAAAAUGAACAAAUUUGAACUAAAACAACGACAAGAAUUAUGGGACGGAGGGAGUACAUAACAUUGAUUGAACCUGCCAAAUGGAAGCCCUAAAUUGUGCCAUAAGGACUUCCAUACAACACAUGAACUAAAAUAAACAAGCACACAAGCAACCAGGCUGUGACAACUCACAGGUAGGACGCAAAGAUUAGAUCAUAUCAGACUCAGACUCCCGGGUAGGAGCUGCAGAGCGUACCCUGCGACACGGCCCGCGCCACCUCCGCCCCAAGCCGCGACGUCAGCCUCGCCGCCGAGACAGCGCUAUGCAGCGGCUGCAGCGACCGUGCCAGCGCCAAUCUCCGCCCCAGGGACGAAGCCCUGCACCACCAAACCCCAGUUCAAGGGUAUUAAAAAAACAAUCUGCGGAAGGGAACGUACAACUACAAGGGGUGCAGGGGGCGGUCGCUUACCUGGGGAUCGGAGCGAGGGAGCGUGGGAGAGAGGCGGCGGGGCUCCGGGUGGCGGCCGGGCGGAGGAAGGCGGCAGCGACGGGGCGGGAGAAGGAGCGGAGGCGCGACGCCAUUGCCGGGGAGGAGGGAAGCAGAAGGGGAGGUCAAGGUGGGGCGAAGGUUUUAGGGUUUUGGACCUUGCGAUUUGAGAAAGUGGACGCUCAUGGGCCUUAUUGGGCUACAGGCGAAGCCAGUGUACUGAGCCCAGGCCCGGCUCCGGCUACAUGCAAAUAUGCAAUCACUCUCCUCCAGCUGCAGGCCCCCCUUCCCGCAUCAUAUUCUUCCCUUUCCUCAUCGCUUCUCCGAGAAGCUUCACGAGAGUCCAAAUCCCACCCCCGGCGAUUCCCACCUCCAUGGCCUCCGGCGAGGGACCCCCGGGAGAUCCGAAGACCACGGUGGUCGGAGGCGAGCCGACCGUCGAGGUGCCGGAGGCUGACCUGUGCCUCGACCUGACCAGUUGCCAGCUGCACGAUCUGUGUGAGGUGGAGAUCCCGUCCUCCCUGGAGGAGCUGGACCUCACGGCCAACCGCCUAGCGUCGGUAGAUCCCCGCAUCGGUCGCCUCCCCGGUCUCCGCAAGCUAUCCUUCCGCCAGAACCUCCUCGAUGACGACGCCGUUGCCCCCCUGUCCACCUGGGACGCAAUCGCUGGCUUACAGGUGAUUAUUCUAUCUGUUGAACCUAGGGCUUGAAGAUAUAUAAUCGAGAGAAUUUGUUGGGCUGGUUCGAUCUUAAUAGUUUUCUUUCAAGUUUCAACACCACAAGAUUUUAGAUUUUAGUCCACAUACCAAGAGGCUGUCUAGAAUAAGCAAAUUUGCCUUGGUACCACCAUCAAUAAGAUGAUGUGUGUGGAGGUAAGUUAAAUACGAUGUCAGAUGUUACUUGAUUACACAUUGUUUCUUAGCUAACAUUGGUAAGAGAAAAUGAGAGAGGUUGUGUAUAGAUGCUUCGUGAGAGUAUUUGUUGUUCCAGUCCCAGAUUUUGACUCUUCGUUCUCCACUAUAGAAUUUUUAAAUCUGAGUUGACAAAUUCUGUUAUUAUUCAUCCUUGGUUCAUAGCUAGUAGAAGAACAAGCAGUUAUAAGUUAGAGCAGUGUCUAUGCCACCAUAACCAGUAGGAGUACAUCUUUACAUUUAGUUGUACAAGUCACGGUGCAAACUUAACAUGAAGUGCCGCCCCAAGUAAAUAAAUUUGGUGUAUGGCAUUUCAUAAAAUUUAAAUGAACGUACGUAUGUUUGCAAUUAUUUUGCAUACAAGUGUAGCACUUUGCCUGUAGUAUAACAAGAUGCCCUGAUAAAUUUGCUUGUAAUAAGUUUUUGUGGAAAAGUAGCAAUGGGGUUGCCAUGAUCAUACAUUCAUACUUGGGUGAGUUUGACACAACACAAUCUGCUGAAUACAUUUCACACAGGCUUGAGGGUGCAAUUUAGGUUUUACUCUUGAAAUUUGCUUUGCUAUUUCUCCAGUUUUCUUGAGAGAUGAAUUAUUGGUGUGUUGUGAAAAAGUAAUUUUCUUUUCAUUAUUUUCUCCCAUACCUCAGAAGUGGCAAAAUAAUUUUAAAAUGCUAUAUGUAAAAUCAUUUCAAAUUUCAGGAGUUAGUUCUUAGGGAUAACAAGCUUACAAAGAUUCCCGAUGCCAGCAUCUUCAAGGGACUUCUGGUGUUUGAUGUUUCUUUCAACGAGAUAUCUUCCUUAAAUGGGUUAUCCAAGGUUUCCAGCACAGUGAAAGAAAUUUAUGUUUCAAAGAAUGAAGUUGCAAAGAUGGAAGAACUUGAUCAUUUUCAUGCAUUAGAAUUGCUUGAACUUGGUAGCAACAGAUUAAGGGUAAGCUUUUGGAUUUUCUUCACACAUGACGAUGCAUGCUAUAGUACAAAACUUUGAUAGAUCGCACCCUCUGGUUCUCUGCGUUCUUAAAUGUUCCACGUUAUUUCAGGUGAUGGAAAAUCUUCAAACCUUGACAAAUCUACAAGAGUUAUGGUUGGGGAGAAACCGAAUCCGGACAAUCAACUUAUGUGGUUUGAAAUCAAUCAAAAAAUUAAGUUUACAAAGCAACAGGCUAACUUCAAUGAAUGGGUUACAAGUACCAUGCCAUAACUUCACCAGUUCCCUUGCUUUUCCUGGUCUAAUUGCUUCUUGGUAAUAUAUCACUUGUUCAUGAAUUCAGGAGUGUGUUGCGUUAGAGGAACUGUACCUCAGUCAUAAUGGAAUUCAAAAGAUGGAAGGCCUUUCUACCUUACAGAACCUUCGUGUUUUAGAUGUUUCAUCUAACAAGCUAAUAGCUAUCGAAGAUAUUGAAACAUUAACCAGGUAAUGUAGUACUGCAUGAUUUAUUGUUUAUCAUCCUUAGUGCAGCAAAAUAAGUGGUGGGACAAUAUUCUAACCUACGUAAACAGUUCGGUGGACAAUUGGAUAUGACUUCUUUUACUAUACUAAAUCCUAAUUUGUUCUGCAGGUUAGAGGACUUGUGGUUGAAUGACAACCAAAUACCAUCACUUGAUGGGAUAGAAUCUGCGUUGUCUGGUUCACGAGAGAAGCUAACAACUAUAUAUCUGGAGAGAAAUCCUUGUGUAAGUGUUUCAUAUCCCUUAUCGUUGAAUAUAUGUCUACUUACCGUCAUAGCGUCAUUGCUUGCUGUUUCACUGUUUUUGAUUAUUUUCUCACGCGUGCUGUUAUUUCUUGUUUAACUUUGCUAUGGUAAUAUCAUAGUAGUAAACUCGGUUCACUUCCAAAGUUGUGUAUGUUGUUAAAGUCAACAUGAAUUGAGUAAGGAAGUCUGGAUGAACAUUAAGUGUGGCAUCCAAGUUUGAGAAAUCAUUUAUAAUUUACUAUAUGCUUCCCACAUCUGUACUAUUACUCUUGACCUAGCACUCUACCAGACCACCUCCACUUAGGACAACAUAGCACACAGGUCUAUUGCUGUGACACAUUUGAUGAACCGUACUAUUUAUAACCCAAGUGAAUCUCAGGCUUUUUUCAGUAUCUUCCAGACUGUGCAACACAUCGAUUGAUUGCAAGUAGAAACUUCUGACUCUCAUACUCCUGAAAUUUUGGUUCAUCAUUGGUUUCUCAUGGACCCGGUGCUACUUAUAUCGCCAGUUUAUCUAGUGGCUGCAAUCUGGGAAUUUCACAACUGAUUAUGUAUUACUCUAGAGUGGGAACUUUCUGUGAUUUUGUAUUUGAAGAAGUCACCAAGAAGAUAACAACUAAGAUGCCUCUAGAGUGGGAACUUUCUGUACUAAAACUUUCUGUGAUUUUGUAUUUGAAGAAGUCACCAAGAAGGUGCAAAGUACUCCCUCUGAUCCUAAAUUGUUGUCGUGAUUCUAGUUCAAAUUUGAACUAAAACCGCGACAAGAAUUUAGGAUCGGAGGGAGUACAACCUAGAAAAACUAAAAUAAGGCAAGAACACAAGAGCAGAACAAAAUAAAAGUCAAAGCAAAAGCAAAAAAGGACCUAACUAAGCCUCUGGUAGCUGGACAUAGAAGGGUAGAUCAUCAGGUCCUUUUUUCUGACACUAUUUAGAACGAUGAAUGCCUGUUGGUUAUGGAAGAAAUGUGUAGUGAUUUAUAUUUGCAAAUCCAGUACUGUAUAGAAUAUUCUGCGUUCUUGCCUAGUACAGCAAUCAUAGCUCAUGUUAAAGUUGGAUCCUUAUUGUCUGUGCUAUGCCUUUCCUUGUUGCAGGCAAAAACUCCAAACUAUUCAUCCACAUUGAAGAAAAUGUUCCCAAAUCUUGAACAAAUCGAUUCAGAUAUGCUAGCAUGAGAGGAGGGUAGACUCACUUGGCAGAUAGUGGAAGUACCUGUGGUGUCUAUACCUGAGGAAUCCGUCAGCACUCAGCAGCCAUCGAGUUCAGAACAGGCAACAUAGUCCCAUGGUGAAGCAACGGAGCAUUUUAGUACUAGUUAUCUGAAUGGAUCAUUGCAAGCAUGUCAUUGCUAACUUUACUCCAAAGAUCCAUCGCUCAAGCAAGUUGGUUUUAUUUCUUGCAGAGAUCAAUAAAACCUAAAACCAUGUUUAAGCCAUAGUUCUAUAGGAUACUAUCGCAGGCUCUGACUCCAUGUGUAAGCCAUAUUUCCUGCAGAGAACAAUUUUGAAGAUGUUGUGUACUUGAGUUUGUUUUUACUUUAAUUUUUUUCUGUAGUGGUUGUGCCCAAAUACUGAACCAAAGUUUAUGGAAAUUAACAUCUUGAGGGUGAGGCUUGGACCAUCCUGGCUUGCUGACAUUGACAUGCUAAGGCACAUGGUAUUGUGAGACAUUUUGUUUCUUCUGAGAAGCGCGUGGUCUUAUUUUGACUGUUCAAAUAUGAGCUUCAACUGUAAUUUAUUUUGGUACGACUCUUUUGAUGAUUGCAAAAUCGCUUUCGUGACAAACUGUUGGUCGAAGAAAGAAAUAUUCAGCAGUAGGAGUAUCAAUCAUAAUAUGUUUUUUUUUCGAGGGGAAUCAAUCAUGAUAUGUAACUGAAAAGGAGAUAUUCCUUUUGUUUUUGACAGGACCGAAAAGGAGAUAUCUGGAUAUGGCCCAUUAGUUUUUUUUUGUUUUGAGAAUGGAUAUGGCCCAUUAGUUAGCUGUUCUACGGGGGCCUGUAGGCCUCUGGGCCUUUACGCAGUCGUCGCGACUGGCAUGGCUCGCAACUGCCCCUUCGAGAGAUUGUGUCCAACGCCACGUUCUCCACUCCCCGCUGCGACGCCGAGUUGACGUAACCACCAGUCUCCGAUCAGUUGAGUUCGCCUCGGCAUGCACGCACGCUCCCCCAACCCUACCGGCCGGUUACCAUGCACUUGUCGCCACUACUCCUUAUCGACAGCGCCCGCGCGUCCAAUCCCUAUAAAUGUUCCCUCCUCUCAUCGAUCCUCGCUUCUUCUCCCCCAACGCGAGCGCACACAGCACAACACUUGAUCUUCUUCUUUGGAGACCGUCGCCGGCCAUCGAUCGAGCUGCUCCAUCGGCGUUCCGUCGCUCCGAUAUGGCCACGUCGACGUCUGAGCUUUUGAUACGUCUCUCGGCGCUCGCCGUCGUCAUCGCCGCGAGCUUCUUCUUCUCCCCCGCGUCUUCGUUGUCCGGGCCGCCGCCGCUGGGGAAGCGGUACAGGGUGGGCGGGCCGGACGGGUGGCGCGUGCCACCGCCGGAGGAGAAGGAGAUGUACUACAUCAAGUGGGCAUCCCCCAUCACCUUCUUCGUCGAGGACUCCAUCGGUAACGCACUAGCAGCGCUCAAUUUCUCCACAUUUUGCUUCGAAGACCCCAAACUUAACCAUCUCUGUCGUGGAUGCGAAUGCAUGCAGAGUUCGUGUACAGCAACGACACGGUGAUCAAGGUGAGCAAGGCGGGGUACUACCACUGCAACGAGACGGUGGGGAUCGGGACGGGGCCGGAGCCCAAGGACGGCAGCACGCUCUUCCUCCUCGACGCCCCAGGCUUCGCCUACUUCGCCAGCGCCGACCUCGCACACUGCGCCCAGGGACAGAGGCUCAUCAUCAACGUCCUCGCGGCCGAGCCCCCCGCCGCGCCCUCCGCACCGUCUUUGUCCCCCGCGGGAGCGCCAUCGUCUUCUUCCACGCAGCCGGACAGAUCCGCCUUCUCUCCGGCACCCGGGCCGGCCCCGGUGAUGGAAUACCAGUCGGACGCCGGGGCCUCGCUCCUGCCGUCGGUUGCUGCAGCCGUCCUGGUAACUGCUGCCUACGCGUUGGUGCUGGCGGCCGGUUUGAUCAUUUGAAUCGAGGUCGAUUUAGUAGGGACUUAAAUUUCAUUCUAGUUUUUAGUGUGUGAUAUUGUCUGAUCGAUGUGUGUGUUUGUGGUGAUGAUCAACGACCAUUGGUAUGUUUUGGUUGGUUAUUGAUGAGGAUUCAGUCAGUAUGUUCUCGAUGUAUCGCCUAUAGUGUUCUCAUGUGUCAGUACCAUACAAAUAAUUGGAUUUCCACUUGUUUCUCCUGUUCGAUAUUAUGAAAAAAAAAUGAAUCUGUAAAUCAUACGUAACUUACCCGUUCUGUGCGAAAUCUAUUUUUGUGGUGCACAAUGCAGACUCGAAUUGUUAAAUCUUGUAUGUACAUGUACUGAGCAUGUUUUUCUCAAGAACAAUUGAUGAUAUUGCUACACGUGAUUCUGACCGUGGGCUACAAACUGUUGCGGACAUGGAAAUGAAGGGGAGGGGAGCACGGGCCAUAGGAGAUUUGAACUGGAGGCAAUGAAAUAGAUAAAAAAAACUUCAGGCCACUCAUUCAUGGCCCAGUUACAACAAAAGGCUUGCAUUUACUCGCAACAGAUACCCUUUUUUGCUGGCAUACACUGGGCUCAGUAUAUUUACCCGUCAAGCCAUAUAAGCUCAGAUCGUCAACUGGGCCGGCCUGUUAAAAAGUGGUUAGGUUACGUAGAGAGUGUUUUUUUUUAACUUGAAAAGCAUAGUUUCGUGAUUCUCAAAAAUGUUGUCUAGAAAAACAUUAUAUACAGAUUGCUCAGUGGAAAUGAUCUUAAGACACUAUAACUAUAUUGUUACCGGAAGGUAUCAAGAAGAAGAAAAGUUGGCUAGAAAAGAAAACGAUUGAAAGUAAAUAAAAAGGCACACCAUAAGAAUUGGAGUGAAUUUCACAAAACCACACAUUUCGGAGCAAUCUUAUCACGCAGCCCUCACUGUUGCUAAUUUUUCUGGAAAACCACAGUUUUCCAGUCACAUUGUAACAACAAUCCCGAAAUGAUGUGUUUAGGCAAUUUGACGGUUUUCCUUACAUACCGGGCCCACCCCUGUCAGGUGACAUGCUGGACAAACCCGACCCGAUAGCCCAUUAAGCUGGAAUUACUCUACUUGUCGGGACAGGUGAAAGGGGUCCCGUUAUGAUACUUACUCAAACUGUGGUUUUGUGAAAUUUACUCUACGAAUUUUAAAAAAAAAUCUAGUUAUCGACAUAUUUUUCAUAUAAGUUUUGUUUAAAACAUUUGUCGUUGGAGUUCGAGGUGAAAAGAAAAAUUAUCGGACUGCCGUCCUAAUCCUAUUGGCUAUUUGCAUACAGUCAUGCUGCCCCCAUAUUAAGGCAUGUAUUCGUUCGUCGUGCGACAGCGACACGGAAUGCGAAUAGAGUAGCUAUAUAUAGCCAGGUGGUCGGUAUAUACAUAUAUAAUUAUCGUCCUUGUCGACAGAGAAGAAAUGCGAUGCGCGCUUGCUAGCUGAUGAUAUUCCUGCUGGCAAUUAUUUCUUGAGCGCUAGCGCCUACGUGUGCCGACCUCGACGUACGUGGUGCCAUAGCUCUCGAACAUCGAUCGGUUCUCCAAAAACAAAGUCCAUGAUAUGCCUAGCUAGCUUGCAGUCAUUGCUGAUCGGUGCAUGGCCGUACGUGCUGUAAAUAGGAGUAUGCAUUAUCUCCGGCCAUGCACCCCUAGCUUAGCUAGCUCACACUCAUCGACAUGGAAAGCAAAGCAGGAUAAAAACUGCUUGGGCAGACUUCGUUCGCCUUUUUGGAGGCUGCCGACUGGAUCACUGGACGAGAGUGUGUACACGCGCGUGGGCUCCAAUUUUCGACCAGACGUGCAUCAUGCCCCGUUGCCACGUCCUGGCAGGCCACACGUACGUACAAGAAAAUUAAUUAAUGGAGAGGGACGGGCUUGCCCCCAACCUGGCCAGUCUAGCUAGCCAGUCUGGUUCUUAAUUACUCGCUCUGUUCUUAAAUUGUUGUCGUUGUUUUAGUGCAAAUAUGAACUAAAAGUACGACAAAAAUUUAAAAACAGAGAAAUAAUUAAUUGCUUUUUCUAAAAAAAAUCAGUUUUCUUAUAUGCGCGUUUAAUUUACUCCAUUUCCAGGGGGUAAAAAGAAUAAUUCAAACAAACAAAAAAAAUUGAGAUUGCUCUCGAUCACUAGUCUCCGGCCGGGCUAAUCUAUCUGGCAUGAUAUGCAUGAUUACGUACGGGAGGAUUAACGUAUGUCGUCGUACCUAACCAUGAAAAGACCGGCCCAAAAGAGGAAGUAUAAGUGUAGCCUUAAAGGGAAGCAAUUUAACAAGCUAGUCUUCUCUUCUUCUAGAUGAUAGCUAGAUAUGACGGAUCAGGAAAUCGAAUAUCAUAUCGAAGUGGACAAAAUAAGGAGAAGAAACGGAGAGCCCGCCUGGCAUCACUUUCACGGGAAGAUACGCGCAUUGUGCCUAUGUUAAUCGCAAUUAAUUAACGAUCGACAGGAUCGAUCGAUGGGACUGUAAAACAGUAAAAUUAUAAGCAAAACAAAUCUUGCGAUAGUCCACUCGAUCUCGAUCAUUAGCCGAGUGUCCAUCAUUAAUUAGAGGAAAGUAAUUUUUCUCGUGGCCUAGCUAUCCUGGACGUGGUGACACGCUGCCUACUAAUGGAUUGAGCGCUCUCGCAAUGUCGCUGGCCUGGCCAGGAAGAAAAUAUCCCGUGAUAUACCUUUAUUCCACAGUCUUAUCAACACUAAAAAGUUUUGGAGAAAACUUAAAAACAUUAAUUGUGUGAAUUUAUAACAUAUGUGUCUACAAUACUACCAAGUUUCAAAUCCAAAUUCAUUAUAUGCAUAGAAAAACAAAAAAGAAUAAUCCAGAUGUGAAUAGGUCGCAAAAAGACUGUUGAAGUUGUGAUCCAAAUUCAUUAAGAAGGCAAACUUCCGACGGAUCGUUUUUUUACCUAAUUUCUACCUGAUAUAUAUACCCCUUGUAAGCCGCCGGUUGGGAUAAGCUCAUCUGUGGAAAUCCACGACAUUGUGUAAACACUCCUGUGGUUUUUUCCUCUCGUUGUUUGAGAGGUUUUUCCAUGUUAAAUUCAUGUGUCCCUUUGCUGUGAUUCCUUUGUCGUUCUUUGUUUUGCUUGUCGCGGUUAUAAUACAGACAAAACAGAAGACAAACUUUUUUGACACUAUUCAUUUUGGAUUUAAUUGUCUUUUUUUGUUUCUCUAUGUGUAUAAUGAAUUCACAUUCGAAAUAUUCAUGGCGUUGUAGACACAUAUCUUAUAAAAAAAUCAAUUUAUUUCGAUCUUUUUAGAAAAAAUAGGAAUGCUACCAUGCAUAUGUUGUGGUAUCACGAUAGUACCCAAUAGGUGUUGAUAUUCUCUCAGCUAGGCAUCGUCUCCGACAGGUCAAUCUAUUGCUUGAUGUCGACGUCGCUCUAUAUGCAAAUUGUGUUAUUUUAUUGAUUAGCUAGCGGGGAUAGAUCUAAAAACCGAUUAAGAAAACGGUGUCUUAUUGAUGGCGGGAAGGCUACUUUAGUUCUUUCUCGAGACUUUUUCCCUUGGUCCUUUUUGAGACAGCGACGCCGUACAUAGUACAAUGUGUUGCCCGGAGCGAUCGAUCGAUCCAGCAUGGGAACGCGAGUAGGCCCCGUUCUCCUGGCCUCCUUAAAAAGAUUAUCAAAAAGGUCUUUGGGUUUAUUUUGAUUGGAAGCGGAAGAAAUAGCAAGGCUAAGCUGGAAUCGAUGCAAGUUGUUGGGCCCGUCCGGCACACAGUUUCCUUGUAAGGUUUGAACGAAUACGCACCACUAAUCCAUUAUCAGUAACCAAGUUUGUUUUCUUUCUAGAAUACGCCUAAUCAGGCGUAUCAUCCAUUAAAAAAGAAAAAACUGCGACGCAGUUACAAUUAUUCCGAAUCUCUCCACUCAACGCUACCACUAGGGAGAAAGGCAAAGAUACAAUCGCCUAAGAGGUUAGCUUGCUGCCACGUCAUGCCCUCCACCCUAAUAGCCUAAAGAACCUUGUUCACUAACGGGGAAUCGUCAUCAAAUACAACCCUGUUGCGCUGCUUCCAAAUCGACCAGCAAACCAGGAUAACCGUCGUAGCUAAAUCCUUUUGGAGCUUGCCUCGUACCGGCAGACCCUCCCACCAAUCAAUGAUGUUCACCUCAUUCGUGGAAGCCACUCAAGUUUGCCCCAACCAAAAAAAAGAUUCCACCAGACUGUUCUAGAGAACACGCAGCCCAUGACGAGAUGGUCGAUCGUCUCAGGAGCUUGAUCACAAAGAGGGCAGUGAUCAGGAUGAUCCAAACCAUGCCACUCCAACCUGUCAGCGGUCCAACAACGCCCCCUGCAAGCAAGCCGAAGAAUGAACUUGCAACGCGUGGGGGCCUUAGAAUUCCAGAUGAGAUCCACCGCCGGAGCCUCCAAACGUCCCUCAAACAGCGCCAAGUACGCAGAGGACACCGUGAAACGCUUGGAGCUGGAUCAACGCCAAUAGAAGGAAUCAUCGCCCAUUCCAAGCUCGAAAACACUCAGCCGAUCCCACAAUCUGAGGAAUUCCUGAAGACCGGCGGCACAGAGAUUAGGGCCAACGUCGCCAACCCAUGCGCCAUCAGCCAGACCUUCAGCCACGUUAAUAUCAAAGCCAGAGCGUCGAACUGCACACACCAACGGGGUAACCAAGUUUGAGUUCAAAAGAAAAGUACUGAUGUAGGUUUUUUUUGUGGUAAAACAAAAGCACCGACGUUUUUUUUUCGAAUAGCACUGUUGUUGUUUUUUUCAUGAAAGAAGGACAUUUGUUGAUCAUGAACCAAGACAUAUGCAUCGAGGUGAAACAGACCAGGACACAAGCGUUGUUUUGCGAAUUCCGAAUGCCCUCCUCCUGAGUCCUGCUCGCCUGUGCCGCCUCAGUCCAAUAAUGAUGCGUACACAAAAUAUUAGGGCUAGUGCUACAAAGAACAGGGCUCCGCCAGGCGGUCGACAAGAUUCUUUAGGAGAUACAGAGCACAGACAAGUUCUGCACCAGUUGGCCAGGUGCAUGUUACUUUAGAUGAAAUUAUGUAAAUCGAAGCCGCAUAAGACACGAUUGAAGAAUGAUCGUGACUGGUGUACACCUACAAAAUUAACCAGUUGCAGAUAUACAUGCACUAAUCAUCCGCCGCGCCGGGGCAUGUGUGUGAUGCCACCUUCCACACUUGCUAAUAAAACUAAGUAAGGUGGUGAUGCACAAGUGGGCUUUCAGAAUUGGACUAGUUUAAUCCAUCGAUUCAAAAUAUUCUUCUCAUUGACAUCAUUAGAUUCGGCGAAAUCCUAACCGGCCGGUCGGGGGAUUAAAUUUUGCGCGAGAACGCAAUGGCGCCAAAAGAAAAGGGGCACAGUGCUAUAAAGCAACAAUGACGGGUGCUAUAACAAGCUUAAUGAUAGUCGAACGUACAGUCCUACCGUUCGUUAAUUAAAUCUCUCACUACCUAAACUGGAAAAUCAAUGACCAACAAACCCCAUUCUUGAGCGCGAAUUCAGGCCGGUUGAUCCAUCCUUCGGGUUAGUUUAAUUAAAUUGGCUUCUAGUACUCCUAAAUACUAUUGGUGCUUAAUUUCGGCCAACCGGAUGGUGGCCAAGGUUUUAAAUAGUCUGUUAUUUAUUUGUUAUAGCACAUUUAAAGACCCGACGUUACGUAUAAGCAUUUUUUUUCUCACUACGCCAAUGUUCUCACUAUAAUGACGCCAAACUGCGCUAAACAUAAUUUCCUAUAGCACCGCUAAUUUAUUUAUUUUGUGUCAAAAUAGUACCUAUGUCGACCUAAUUAAAGGUCCAACUUUCAGUCUCAGACCUAGCCUAAUGCCGUAACACGCUCGAGCGGGAUCCCUAACCUCCACUCCGAGCGAGACCCUGGCCGGGCGGCGAGGUGGCAGCUCCUCCAGCACACAGCCGGUGGUGGAGCGGUUCCAUCAUCCAGCACGCGACUGCCGCUAUUUGGGGCCUGAAAAUUUUCUUCGUAAGUUGUUGUGUUGAAAUUUUUUUAGGCUGAUUUUUCUUUUUGUCAAACGCUAUUUGAAAUUACGCACGCUAUAACACGAAAUAGCAUGUAUAGCAUCUGGAGUAGGCCGCCGCUAAAUCUCAUAGCACGCCAUUUAAAACCUUGAUGGUGGCCUUUUUUAUCUGCAUAACUGUAUUCAGCUGUUUCUCGAAAAGAUAUUGUUUCAAAUAUGGGUGUACAAUGCCUUAUAAAUAAACAUACUUCCUCCGUCCAACAAAAAAUGUCUCAAGUUUGUCGAUAUUUGGAUGUAUCUAGACAUGACUUGGUGUGUAUAGAUGCAUUUAAAUUUAAUCAAAAUUAAGACAUCCUUUGUUCGACAGAAAAAGUACUGGUAUUUGCAGGUACGCGUGCUUAUGCUUAUCCCAUCCAAAGCAGAUCAAAUAAUUAAACAUUUCCGCCAAAAGUAGGGCGCCAUCGACAAGGAACGCCAUCCCAUUCGAGCGGGGGCGAAUUGACAUUUCUUAUUGCCUGAUGUGGUUUUCUAAUUCAUUUCUCACUUGAUUAAUCAAGACGUUUACGCUAUCUUCGAGAGAAUUAAGAUAUGUCUGUCCGCACGUCGCGGUUGAUCCGACAAUAAUAAUAAUGGAACAGAAGAACGUUCUUUCCAGGGCAGAAGACGACGAGAUGAUUAAACAAAGCGCGCGUACGGAUAUUUAAAGAGCAUAAUAUGGUACUUAUUCCGUUCCAUAUUAAUAGGCGUCGAUUAGUACAAGUUUAAUUGGCGCGGAUUUAAUACAACGCCAAUUAUUAAUAUAAAACAGAGUGAGCAGCUGCAAAUUAAUCUUAAGCCUUAAUCUUAUCCUCAUUCUUACUAGUUUGGUCGUUGUGAAUUUUGAAGUUUCAUUCAUCGACUAUAAAUCCACUCCACGAAAGAAGCGCUGAUGAGAAAACAGAGGAGGUCGAUCGAUCGAUCUUUUAGUUUUCCAUGUUCAUGUACAUGAAACUUGUUUCUUCUUCUGAUUGAGUGGCAAGCGACUGCCUUUCCUUUUCUUUUUGCGAGGGACUGUCUUUCCGUCAAUACAAGUGACUCCCGAGCAUGGCCGAAGGGGUCCUCCUUAUUCCUUGAUUGGCUCUUGCAUUGGUUUGGUUCGUUUUUUCUGUCACCGGCAGGCCAGCCAGCUAAUUUGCAAGUUGCAGACGCUGGCAGGGUGGUCAGUCUGCACUGCACCGAUACGAGCAGGUCAUGUACGCUUGUUGCUAGCUUCCGGGCCCAUGGGUGCUGCUGUCCACGUGCCACGCUGAGGCCAUGCCGACAAUCGCUUUCCCGGUUAUUGCCCGCUUGUCGUGAUGCUGGACAGCGAUAGGUGUCUGCGCAACAAGACAUUAUCUCCCAUAGUAUAGUACAGUUACUCGCUCGGUCCCAAAUUAAAUAUUAUAUGUAUUUAUAUGUUUUUUAAUAAUAGAUACAUCUAUAUUUACAAAUUUGAUCUCUUGACACGAGAUGGAGGGAGUAUGUUUUCAAUUUAACUAAACUAAGUGGUACUACCUUGGUUUCUAAAUGUACGAAGGUCUACGUACAUUUGUACUAAGUCGAACUUACUAACAUUUUGAUCAAAUUUAUAAUUUUUUUUAUCAAUAUAUAGCUAUAGUACUCCCUCCGUCUCAUAGUUCUUAUCGUUGUUGUAGUUCAAAUUUGUACCAAAACAACAAUAAAAAUUAUGGAACGGAGUGAGUAUCAAAUAAGCAUACCUACUUCCUCCGUCCAACAAAAACAAAGGAUGCGACUAAAUUUGAAUGCAUCUGUACACUAAAUCAUGUCUAGAUAUAUCUAAAUUUUAACAAACUUGAGACAUCUUUUGUUGCACGGAGGAAGUAUGAAAAUAUAUAUCAUGAUGGAUUUAGUAAAACUAAUUUAAAAUACACCUAUAAACUUGACCAAAAUUUAAAAUAGUUAAUUUAAGAUAUAUAAAGCCAGUACUUCAAUUCCUACACUUAGGAACGGAGGGGAGUACAUGUGUAAGCUAAGCUAGAUCUUUAAUUGCCACCAUGCAGAACAUGCAUACACUGUAGUAAGUACUGUUCAUAUGCAGUUGUCGUAUCAAAAUUAGCAAAGACAUUAGACAUAUAUACAUCACCAUGCACGCACGCAUGCAUGAUUCCGGUAAGUUACGCCGUCAAUUAGUUGGUAGGAGUACUACACGCACUCAAAGGAAAUGCCGCAACUGUAUCGCACCUAUAGGUUAGAAUAUAACUAUCCGAUAUUCCGAUCGUCGAUGCAUGGCGCUAGCUAGCUACGGAGUAGCUCGGUGCUGCCAGCUCAGCCGUCACGUACUGCCCGGGGGCCCGUCGUUUGAAACGACGCGCGUGAGCCCGACCCGGCUUUGACAAAAAGCCCGAUAUGUCAACAUUGUCAUGAGGUGAGGUCCGAUCCACACAAGAAAACAAAAAACAAGCCAGAACUGUGUACAUAGCUACGAUGGCUGUAUCUGAACAACCCGGCCGCCUCUAAUAAUAAUCCACUUGGAGCUGAAGUGUGACUGGAUUUAUUCUAAAAUAUGCGUGCACGUAGUUGCACUCGAAAGGAAAGGACGCCCGUUUUUUACCUUUUGGGAGACAGAGACGAGACGACCUCGCGCGGAUCGCAUGAAUGGUACUCCACACAAAUUAAGAUGCCACACACAAAUUAAUUAAGCAAAUGCAUGACCGACGUCACGACUCACGAUCGAGCACGGACGACUUCACACACACACACACACGCACACACACGGAGUAGAAUUCAGCUUUUGCUCGGUCCGGGGCGCCCUUUACGCGACCAGCAAGCGGGGAAAAAGGGAAAUUAAUCCGUGUGCCUGAAAUUAAUCUCGAUGCAUAUGCAUUCGACCCACAAGUGGUCCGUCCGGUACGUACGGCGCGGGAGCCGCUUAUAUAUUCCUCCGUGCCCGGACCGGCCGUACGACGGUACUCGCGGGCGGCAUGCAAGGACGAACGGCCGGACCACGCGGCCUGGCUGAGUACCGUACGGAGUACUACUGGCUAAGAGCACUUGCGUUGCUACGGACAAAAAACCCAUACACAAAAAGGCUAAUGUACACCAUUUUCAAAGACUCACGGUACCCCUAUAGUUGGUUCGCAAUAACAUCAUUCUUUGAUUCUUCGCUUUCCUUCCCUCGUCUCGUUGCUUCAUUGCUGCAUGUAUAUAUGGGCAUGGCCUUUUCAUCCUAUUUUCCUGUUAUCAACAUAAAUAAGUAAAUAGAUAGGCAAAAAAAAAGUAGCUGAAAUAGAUCACCCAAAUUAAGAGUAGUUGUAUAAUUUAAGUGUAAUCUCCUGACGAGUCCAGGCUUGCUUAUUAAUCCUUUUUUUAUUUUGGUUGCCCUUUGAUAAUUUGGAGAUGUGUAGGCUUUCUUGCCACUUACUGUGAGAAGAAUGUAGAAAAACUUGAAAAAAUGCUGACUAAAAUAACUUAAACUAAAAAUAUUGGAAGCAAUCCAUUACAAGCAACCUUCCAUGAUAUAAUUAGGUUCAUCACAUGGUCGAUACAGAUCUAGACCUAGGUUGUGAAAAGAAUAUCAUGAUUCUCAAAUGGAUAUAUUGACAGAAAAAAGUGAAAGGUUGACUAUAUACCGACUUGUAAAUCUAAGUUGUUAUGAUCAGCAAGGCUCACUUGUAGCUGCACCUAGAGAGUGAACUGAGGGAACUGUGCAAGCAUAAGCAUUUCUCACAGCAGUAGCGCGUGCUCCAUGUUAAAUCAUAAAGCAAAUCUUGAAGAUAUCAUUGUGCUAAAUUUCAAUUUCAUAUGAUGUAUUUAAAAAUUUGAUUACUAAAAAUAGUUUAGAAAAAUAUAUCAGUGAAAAGACAUGUGGUAGCCUCACAUAUGCAUCGAUGCAAGUAUUAAAACACAAAAGACCGAUUGCAUGGAAAAUAGUAACAGGGAACAUUUAAAGGCAGCAAAAUGAGGUGUUUUGGACUUGUAAAAAAUGGUACAGAGUAACACCUUUCAUUCUGAUCUUUUUCAAAGUGGACUUCCUCUCUAUCUGAUCUUUUUCAAAGUGGAUUUCUCAUUUAGACUGAUCACCAUUAGAACUUCAGAGAACUGAUUAUGUCGAUGUAGACACAAUAUAGGAAAUAACUUGCUGCAUUAUCAGUAUGCGUGUAGUUGGUCCAUCCAGCCAGGAAACCAAAUAAGAACACUUGUCAUGUAUGCAAGUAAAAUUAUGAAAGACAGAUUAUCAGUAUACGUGUAGUUGGCUAAUAUAGUCAAAGCAACAAGGACAAUUUAUAUUUGGAAGACAGAUUCAAAGCUGGACCAUUGUAGGAACUGAGAAGGCAUGCCAUUCUGAAUAAAAGUUAGCACAUACAUGUCUUUGAGAGAAGAUGUGAUGGCUGCAACCUGCAGGUUCUGAUGUUUACGUUGUCUUCCCAAAAAAGCUUUAUUUGACAAAACAGGUAAUGUUGGUAGUAAAACAGAAGGAAACACUAAGACAGAAAUUUGUUACAAAGCAGCAACAUUUCUCCAUUAGUUAACUCAGGUCUAAUCGGAGCAUAGGAAGCCAAGCUUGGUGGAACAAUCACUCGAUUGCUUCCUGCUUCCAUAGUUGAAGAGGAAAUGCAUGACACCGGUGGGGAAUGAGCAGGUUGUCAGAUUCAACGCGUGUAGGGAUGGGUGGCUGCCGUCAGCAAUGUCGCGGAAUCGACGGAGCACGUGGUGAAGGAUCUCGAUGAGGUACACAACGGAGGUCGUGGAAAUCCCAAUUUGGGGUAGAGUAAUUAGGCUAUGUAAAACGGUUACCCGGAGAGGAUUUGGGCAUCGCUGAACUCCUUCGUCUUGCCGCCGCUCGCAAUCGUCACUGCAGAACAACACCGCCGGAUCUGGGACGGGUGGCCUUCCCCAGCUCCUGAUCUGGCUGGGACCAUUCCGGCACGUCCGAGAACGCGGCGUCCACCACGCCGGCGACAUGGCUGGGAGAGCGGGCAGAGGGAAUGGCAGCUAUGGACCGGAGGUGCGCGGAUCAGCGGGGCGGCGGUGUGUUAGAAGAGCGGCGACGGCUAGGUCGAUGUAGGCUUCGACUUCGGCGAGAUGAGGCGGGCGGCGGAUGAGAGGCACGAUGGAGGGUUAGGAGAGAAGAGAUUUGAGAAGAGAUGCGGGCUUUGUCCUCCGUGGGAGCGGCAGUGAAUCGGGGGCACGGGGGCGGUGCCGCGGAGGGAUCCGGUUUUUUUCCUCUGGUUGGUUUUUCUUUCGCGUGCGAGGGAGGAGGAGGACGUACGAUGAACUAACGCAACUGGAAAUUAAGGAAUAGUAAAGAUAUAUUCUCUCGUCUCAUAUUAAGUUUUACUAGUUACAAUGCCCGUGCAGUUGCCACGGCCUCUUAAAUAUAUGCACACGAAAAUUGUUAGGUUAAUUAGCCAAACGUCGUUGAUGGUUGUUUAUGUAUGUGCCUGAUUGGGAGAUGCAUGUGUGCAUGUCUGUUGUAGAUGGAUCAGAUCAAUUCCUUUUCAAUUCUGUAUGUAUAUACAUGUGCAACGUACGUUCAUGUAUGUAUCAUAUUCGUGUUGUAUUAGAUGUACGCAUGGAUCGAUUAGUGCAAUCAAUUAGAUCGGUUCGUUUACAGGUUGUGUGUGUAGUUAUAUAAAGAUUGAGAGAUGCAUGUGUGUAGUUACAUGAAAUUGGGGAUGUGGAAGGGAUGGCGGCGGCGGCCGGCAGAAGAGAUGGCAAAAUUGCAAGAAAGCCUAGUUUUUGUCGAAAAAUCCCAGUUCCGUCCGACUACGGGUUGUUGUUUUUAAAAAAAAAUUAAAUUGAAAAAUCGACAUACGGACGAAGACCAAGAAAACACUCCUUCUUUUAUUAUUAGGCGUAGAAGUGUUGUAACUUUUUUUUUGACACGCUUGUAUCUACCGCACGUUUUAGUAUGUACAGUUGUACAAAAAAAGUUGCGACAUAUGAUCGAGCGAGGGCACGAUAUUCGCCGUCCGGGCGGGUCAUCCGUACGCGUGGCGACAGCUAGCUGGUUAGCUCUAGCUUCGAUCUGAUCUCCCCUCGGUACUCUCAGUCGAUGGCCCCGGCCCGGCUUGGUGCCCUGGCCCUCGCGGGGGGCUAAAGCAAAGAUGAUAUGAGAUGGAUGCAUGCAUGGGACCGAUGAUCGAUGAAGGUACGAAUCGCCCCAAUGUACGCGCCUAAGCCUAGCCUAGCCGCGGGUCGCUUCCUAGUACUGUGCUUCCUAGGUUGGCUUGGCUCUUGCUUCCUUCCUUCUGGACUUCUGGACUUCUGGUGGCGCGCGGUCGAUCGGUCCCUGUCACGGCCACGGCGGCGUGCCUGCUUGCUUGCUCCCGGUGGGAGGGAGUACGUGCCUAGGUACGUAGGUAAGUCGACGGGGAUGAAUGAGUUCGAUUAAUUGGCUUCCCUGUUGCACGCAGCUGUUGGCAAGUCAGCUAGCUAGAGUGUGUUUGUUUACACACUGCGCUGCUUGCUUUUUGCUACCUCCUGUUUCAAACAUAUUCGAUAUGAUCGACUUCGCGCGCUGCAUAAAGCAAACACACGUAGUGCUAGGUCGUAGGGGUACUAUACGUGAUUUAAUAGUAGGAGUACUAGUAUAUUCCACAUACUGAUAAUUGAUUUGACAUAGCUGCAAAUAUCUAUACCGUGAAUUGCUUGAGCUUGAGAAACUAUAGCUUCACAUCUUGGAUUGGAUGGCCACCAAAUCGAACAUUUCGUCGUGGGCCAUUGGAUAUCAUCUCAACGGAACAGAUCCCCUCCCCAACUCUUGCCCCAGCCCACUAUUCGGAAAAAAAAAAACGCUUGCCCAAUCCGUCAUUGCACAUACACCUUUGCGAUGACCGUUGUCGAUCAGUUCAUUUUUUAGUGGGCUACGAAUUCUACAUGAUGGAAACCAAGUCAACAAAAGUAUAUUUCGGUCAAAGUGCCAACAAUACACCAUCAACCCAACUAGACAAAUAUUCAAAAAGCCAAAUCAUGGUCAAAUUAAUAAUCAAAAGAUUCAUAGAAUUAGAAAAUAAAAUAGAAAGGAACUGCGCUAGCCACGAGAUCCUUCAAAGAUUAAGAAAGCGACUCUGGGCUCAGGGGCUAGGGGACCUUACCUCGACUCUCGACGGUCAGGACACGGCCGCACUGCCAGCCUGCUCCUUUCACAUGAAUCUGCUGAAUGAAGGCCACAUCGCUGUUCACCAGAAGCGCGUGACAGAGAGGAAGCAGACCCCGCCAUCGAUCGUCGUCUGUCGCACAAGCUUUCCCCGUUGGCCACCACCGAUGGCAACAAGGGAGGAGGAAAGGGAGAAGGAGGCCCUGAUGGCAGCUAGGGUUUGUCACCCGUGUCGGCGCGAAAUGAGGCGUUUCCAUGAAUGUUGAACUAACUAAGAGAACGGGACAAGAUUCUCUUAACCAUUAAUUCGGUCUCAAGAUUUAAUACUCCCUCUGACCCAUAUUAUUUGUCUCAAAUUUGCCCAAAUAUGGAUGUAUCUAUGUUUAAAAAGCGUCUAGAUACAUGUAAUAUUUCGACAAGUAAUUCCAACCGGAGGAAGUAGUAUUAUAAAGUCUCUAUUAUAAUGGUUCGGAUUGUUAGAAUCAAUACUGCUCCCUCCGUCCAACAAAAGAUGUCUCAAGUUUAUUAAAAUUUAAAUGUACUAUCUAAACAUAACUUAGUGUAUAGAUGCAUUCAAAUUUAGUCAAAAUUGAGAUAUAUUCUUUGUUGGACGAAGGGAGUACCUGAUAUUUGUGUAUUUUUUAAUAUAUAUACUCCGUAUUUGUUUUACCUGUGUAUAUAUAAUUGUUUGAACAGGAUACAACGGUUUCCGCCAUGUACGGACGUAUAUGUCCUUAAUCAACGCUCAACUGGACGUUCGGCAGAGUCGCUAUCAUAUAUGCCCCGAUACGUAUCACCAACUGUUUCUGUGUAACAGUGGUAUGUUUGCUACAAUGCGGACUGGCCGGCUUUUUAUUACGGAGUAAUUAAUUUGGCGAGCGCGACACUGACUUGACAUAAUUUUGUAAUGAUGGCGCUGUCUCUAUCUCUUACUUUAGCAGCAUCACAGUACCAUAGUUAGUAUGUACCGGUAUUGUAUAUGAGCGUCCUAUGGCCACGUCUUUCCAAGAAUUUUUAGUCAAACCAGAUGAAACUCUUUUUCUUUUUCCGAAGAAAGAAAAGCUCAUUAUAAUACUCCACAAACAAGUAAAAUAAUUGCAAUAGCACGAUUAAUAGUGGUCCCCAACGUGCUGCUGCAAAAUUGUGUGCCAGUUUCAAGACAGGACGUCACUUUCCAACUCGCUGUGUAGGCCAUAUCUGAAAGAGAGUGUUGUGCGGAGUCCAGAAUCUCUAAUUUGAUCAAUUCUGCUUGUGGCAAAGGCGACGGGAGUAGCUGUGUAUACUUUGUGCUUAUGGGAAAAUAUCAGGCGGCUUUGCGGUGCAAUCUUCGUAGAAACCAUGUGUAGAGAUUAAGUUUAAACAAAUUUUAGAAAAAAAACCAUAUGUUGGAGAUGUGAUAUCCUACGAACAUGCAAAAUCACAAGUCAAAAUACAAUUAAGUUUGAAAAGAAUAAAAAAAAAUAUGUAACUGAAUAGUGUCAACAGUGAAGAAACCAGUAUUCAUGUUGAAUGUGUUUUUGUCACUGUCGCUAAACGAGAUUGACUUUGGACUUGAAAUUUUACACGCAUAUGAAACAUGAAUUCCCUAACAUCUGCACCAAAUGUGAGAAUUCUUGAACAUUUAUAAUAUAUUUCACGGAGUUUUCACGUAAAGAUAGUUUUCUCCCGGAUACGCCCCCUAUAUAAUAUCUUUCACUGUAUAAUAUAUAUCUUUCACUGUUUGCUUUUACUUGGAGUAUGCGUGCAUGGAGUUUUCACCGUAAAGAUGGUCUUUCAUGAAACCGGAACUAUCGAUCUCUCCAUGACAAAAAGUCGGCAUUUAAAUCUUUAAUGUUGUCUCUAAUAAUUGGGGUCGUAAAACAAGCAUACUCCAAGUAAAAAACACCCUAUCAUCUUUAAAUUUGGUAACGAGAAGGUAACUUUUGUUUUUAUUUUCGAGUGCGUGAAAGGAAAAUGAUCAUCACGAUUUAACAAAUGCAUGCAGGCUAAGCUGAAGGUAUCAGUCACAUGUGUAUGUAUCGGUGCUCUACGGACAGUACCAGAACCGUACGUUUCAUGGGUAAACUGUACGCUUUCCCAGGGAUCGAAUAUCAACGCCCAAACAAGCCAGCCUUCAUGGUAGACUCACAGUAAGGGCAUCCAGCUGCAUUAUGCGGUGAACACAGGGUGAUCUUUUCAUUUAGACCUGCUCACGGAGAAGAGGAUCCGUGCCGUGGAUUCGCAUUACAGGCCGUACCGCCCCCAGCUGGUUAGGCCACGACGGCUGCUUACACCUAAAUGCUCUCGAUCGAUCUGGCACUGGCCACAGUAUAUCCUAACAAACUUCAUAUUUGUCCUCCCUGAUUUUGAAUUUUAUAUAGCGAUCUGCCAGUGUGGAGAGACGAAUUAAGCAAGUGUAAUACAUGGCAAAAAGAAGAACCAUAAUAGGGUGAAUAGUACAUCUCACGCAUGUGCGUAAAGCCUUGUGUUGGCACUAGUGUUUUUAAUGUUUUAUCCAGCUCAGAUCACUAGAAAUCCCAAAUGAGUUGUUGGUACAGAUAGAGCCAUAGAGGGAUCACAGGGGACUAUUCCUAGAUUUCUCGCGGAAAACACCCAGUUUUUGUACCAAUUUCAACAAUUCUCAUACUAGUGUUUUGGGGUGGAAUUGGUGUUUGAGAGUAUUGACACUCAAUCCCUAAAAUACCCCAGGCCUGAUUAAUUAAUUUUAGCUGGGUUUCAUUCGUCCGGACGUAUAAGAUGGACGUAGGGUGAGGCCUUAUUCGGUUUAAAUGAAUUUUAACUCACAUAAAUAGAAAUACUAGAGGAUUAAUGGUAUGUCAUGGCCAUCUUAAUCUUUAGUAAUUUUUCACGAGGUCUUACCAAUUCAAAGCUAAGAAUCUAUAGGAAUUAGGUCAACUUGAGGAUGAUGCUUAGGAAUCUGGCAUAUCGAUCUAUCGGUACGAAACGACUACACAUAUGAAAAAUUUCCAAGAUUUGAAAACCUGCAUAAUUCCUAUGGAAAGGAAAUCGUACGAACCAAAUGAGCCCUAAAAUGUUGAGAAAUGGAGUAAUUAUAGUGAAUAAUUUUCUUUUGCCCAUGCCGCGGGUGCAUUACGCGGAGCUCACAGUGCUUGGAAUUAUUGCCCUGUUUGUUUAAUGAACUAUACUGCGGGCACUGCAUGCAUGCCGCGGCUUUGGAUCGAUUGACCCACUGUUCCACUUGACCUCCGCAUAGACCCUACCUAGCUAGCUAAUCACAAAGUUAAACCUGGCCUUCACACCUAUAAUCAACUCCGGGCGAAACCAAUCAACAUCAUCCAACCAAGGGAGACUUUCGGGAGGAUUCUUGGAGAUAAAUUAACGGCCGUUCACCUCGCAAUGCUUCCUUUAUAUCAGUGUUCCCUUGUGCACUAAGUUACAAGAGCUUUCAAUUUAUUUAAUGUAAGAUGCAAUAAAUUGAAGCACACGUGGCCAGUUAAACCGGUUAACAGUGCGCAUUUAAUUCUUGGUCGAUCGAUCGAUCGGGAAUUCGGGAUGAUGUGCUCCGUACUACACGCAUGUUGAAUGUGACACGAUGUAACAGAUCGACCUUUCGAUCCAGCUCCUAGUCUGCUGCCAACGGCCAGACAGGGUGGUCGCUGCUGGGCCUGCCAUCGAUCGAUCUCGACCGUCCGCACAGGGGGAAGUCGUUCCGUCGAGUGAGAGGAAGACGAGCGAGGGAGAGCCUUCAGAUGAAAAUCGAACGGUCGACAGACCUUUCACCGCGUCUCGAUUAUAUCGUACGUAAACGGGAGCAGCUGCAUGCGAUGUACUCCGGCUCUCUUUAAUUCGCCACAUGCCCCGGCUGCUUUGAUUCGAUUUUGUUUCUGCAGAAACAGUGGCAUCUGCGAGCUUUGUUCCCCCACAGAGGGUUGCAAGAUUAAGCCCGCGUUCGACUCCGAUAAUGAGAUACUCCAGAACCCAAGGCGAAUUUGGCAUCCAAGCAUGCAUGGGAUUGAUUGGAUGUAAAACCCUGUAGAAGAGUACAAAUAUAUCGUUCAACAAUUAAUCGAGAUGCACGGCCCCAACUUUCAACUAACCAAUUAUAUGUUCGUGCCACCAGGCCAUAAGGUCCGUACGCACCAGUGUACUUCGUACUAGGCUAGUUUAAGAAGUGGACCACACACUGAAAGUUCGACCGAAAAGAACCGAUUCAGUGCUCUGCCAAGACCAUUCGCAGUCAUAAAUAGGUCGACCAGGUCUUGGAGAUGGAAACGGUGUUUGACAUACUGUGUGAUACUCCCCUCCAUUCCAUAAUAUAAGUCGCUCAUGUAUUUCGAGGUCUAACUUUGACCAUCAAUUAGACUAACAAAAUGAAAAUUAUGUGUUAUAAAAAUUAUACCACUAUAUUUAUAUCUGAAAGAAGUUUCUGAUGAUAUAAUUUUUAUAAGACAUAAUUCACAUUUUGUUGGUCUAAUUGGUGGUCAAAGCAAAAUCUUGAAAUACGUGCUUGCCUUAUAUUAUGGAACGGAGGGAGUACAAACAUUUGAUCAUUGUUUUUUAACGUACAAGUAUCACAUCAAAAGUGUACAUAUAUUGCCGGUUUUGCUAUAUUUAAAUUGCCUGAUUUUUAGUUACUAACAAGUUAAUUGUUUAGCCAUUAAAUCCGGAUCGUGCUUUAAAAUUCAGGGCGAACGCACUGGAGAUGAGGAAGUACAGAUGGCGUGCAGAUACUAAUCCGACGAUCGAGACUCUGUUACUACUCCCUCCGUCUCAAAAUAAGUGUCGUACAUUUGCAUAAGAAUCUAUACAAAUCCAAGUCACUUAUUUUGAGACGGAGGAAGAAAAAGUAUGAUUUAAACAUUUUGCUUAUAAUAAUCAAACGCGCCUCAUAUAUGAGAGCACAGUCUUGUGUGGUCCGAUCGAAGUUACGAACUGGUCUGUGUGUGGAAUAUGCAGAACUAGCUAGCCAAAAACAAAAAGAGGCCAAUUUUACGCAUGUACAGAUAAGGCAGAGGUCCCCUGCCCGGCCUCUCCUUUGGACUUGGACUGAUCUGCUCGAUUCUAAAAGGCGCCAGACGACACCUCACGUCAGUGCAUCACACACCCACGCGCUCCUGUCCCCGGCCGGUGCUGGCCUCUGACACCUCACUCAGCAAACUCUCACUAGCUUUGGUGCCACAUCUACACAUGCAGUAAUGCUCUGAACCACAAAUGUGGUGUUCAAUGGUGUACUCUCGCGAGCAUUCUUGCGCACUAGUUGACUUGACUGUGAAGGACGUACGACGACGACAACAAACCAACAACGUACAAGGUGUGGCAAGAGUCCAUUGAGAGAUAUUUCCAUAUGCCUAUAAUUGAGUGGACUGAAACCAAGACAACCCAUGCAUCUGGCCUUUCUCUGAUCAUACAGUUGUGUCGUAUGGUGGAAUAAGUAACAGGAAACGCUAGCUAGCUAGCUCGCUGCAGUGUGCUCACUCAAUCAGUGCAAUAAUGGUAACUAAAAAGAGUGAAAAAAAGAAAGAGCACCUAGCUAGGUUAGGCACAUCAAUUUUAUCUGCAUGGAUGGUACAAAAGGCAUGCAGUAGUACCGCAGCCUCUAGUACAGCUGCUUUGUCACCGGAAGUGAAAGCCGUCAUUUCCUGUUGCUUUCCCUUCCCUUGGACCACGGUGUACAUUCAUGUACUAGGAGCCAAUUGAGGCACCAAUUUCGGUUUUACAAUGCAUUAAAUCGUGGAGGCCAUAAUUAUAUGGAGAUGACUGUGCUUGAUUAUUGGAACCCGAUUAAGGGCAGAGGAAAGACAAAUUCAAAAGGCAAGAGGCCCAAACCGAACAAAUCAAAAAGCAAGUUAAAGAUAGGCUACGUACUAUAUAUAGCAACUAGGAGGAGUACAGUACAAGACAGUACAGUACUAAAGAGGAGAAGGAGUGAGACAGAAGUAUUAUUAAUUAACUCGUGGAAAUUAAAAGUUGCAAAUCUAUAUGUACAGAUUUGGACAAGAACGACAAAGGAAGAGAGGGAAAGAGAAAGCGCGAGCGAGGUGGAAAGUGUGUGGAGAUUAAUUAAAAGAAAGAAAGGAGCUGGUAAUUACCCAAUAAUAUUCAGCAAUUACAGGUUCCACAACAGGGCGCUAACUGACGACGGCGCGCCCCAGCCGUGGUACUGGUCGACGGCGGCGUCGAGGCCAAAGCCGAACAUGUCCUCCUGCGCGUAGCUGCAGCCAUCGUCGUCCAUCCACACAGGGUCGCACCACGACUGCUGGUGAUGAUCCGCCAUCGUCAGGCCCCCGAACACGUGCCCGGUGGCGUCGUCGUCGAGCCGCGGCAGCUCGAAGAUCGCGUCGAGAUCGUCGACAACGUCUGCCGCGGCAGAGAUCACGGGCUGCUGCAGCAUCAUCGCCGGGGCAGGCGACGACGGAGACAAUGCGGCGGCUGCGGGCUGCUGUUGAUGAUGAAGAUGGCCCAUGUCCAUGGCGGCGGCGCGGACGGCGGCGGCCUGGACGUCGCGUGGCGAGGAAGAAGCCGGACGCGGGAGCCUCGAUGCGAGGUCAGGGAAGUUGAGCACGGCGGCGGGGCCCUUGACGACGAGCGCGGCGGCGUCGUGGGCUCGGGCGGCCAUCUCCGGGGUGGGGAAGGUGCCGAGCCAGAUGCGGGACUUCUUGCGGGGCUCCCUGAUCUCCGACACCCACUUCCCCCACGCCCGCAUCCGCACGCCCCGGUACGACGGGUGCCGCCCCCCGCCCACGCCGUCGUCCCGAGCACGCCUGUUCGAGCCGAAGCCGGGCGACGCCGGCGGCGAGGAAGACGUCGUGCCACUGCCGCCGGACGACGCCGGGCUGCACACAUCCUGCUCCGGCAUUAUCCACAGGCUAGCCGGGGUGCAGAGCUAGCUAGCUAGCUUAAUUUGGCAGCUACUUCAGUUAUUAUCAGUGGCAAGAGUGCUGUGUAAAAGACAGGAGCUAGUGAGCUGAGACGAUCGAUGGAAUGGAAGGAUGAGUGAUGAGAGAAAGAACGGGGAGGAGGAGGGGGGUGGUUAUAGUAGUGGCUGGUGGGUGUGGAGAGAUGGAGAGAGAGAGAGAGAGAAAGUUUCACGGCGACAGCAUGACAGCUGAACCACUCGCCCGAAACGCAUCCUCGGGCCCAGGCCCCGGCCCCUCCCUCUACAUUUGUGGUUUUUCUUUCUUUCUCCGGAAAGCGGUAAGUACUGGAUGCACUGGUGGCGUAAAAUAAGGCAGGCCGCCGGGUUUGAUUAAUGGAAGUGGCUGGUUAUGGUAUAGUGAGAGAUAAAAUAAGCGCGCUUGCUUCUUUUGCAUUGGUACUUUCCCUUUUAGUAUACUAGCCUCGACGUGGUCCUGAGAUUAUACAUGCAUGCAAAUGCAAUACGGAAUCUUUUACUACUGAUGAUGAUCGUUCAGGAGAUUGGACGUACGUACGUGUUCGGUAUUGCGUGACGGUUAAUUACUUUUCGGUCCUUAUCGGUUAAUUGAUUAGUUACACACUUACUACACUGCCCCGUGCACAGUGCCUCCUUUUUCGAAUUAACUGCCGUGGUUAAUCAUUGCGCUUCAAUAACUACGUACUGCGUGACGCUAUAUAACGCGUACGUUUCUACUAUGCUUUUUCUUCUGACAAAGGAAAAUACGGUUACGCACACACAAAGUAUAUACUUUUGCUGGGGGCAUACUUUCCCCCCACACACUUUGUUUAAUACAGUACGGUUUUGUCGAAAAGACCCGCCGACGCAUUGAGAAGAAUUCACUAACCUCUCCCUAUCUCGGCUAAUUUGCGGCUGCCCCCAUUCUGCCGGCCAAUACCCCAGUCAUCGAAUCGAUCGAGUCUCUCUAAAAAAAAGCGAAUCAACCCCCUCACUUCCUAGCUCGGUUCCUCCUUUUAGAAUUCGUCUAGAGAAUAAGGUGGCUUGGAAUAUCUCUUAUAGUGGGUGACACCCAUCACAUUGUGUUGGGGUAUUGUUGCGCUCUCACACACGUAUAAAUUCGUCUCCUUCGCGACUAGACACAUACAUAAGUGAGGAGGACCCAAAAAAAAAUCCAUCAACCCGGAGCUGAAUUUAUCAGCUGGUCCAAAAGACUUAAAGGCCGGCUAGAAGUACAACAACACAGAUAACCGGCAAAACGUCUCCCAGUCAGUAUAAUAUCUUGUGUCUAAUUUUUUUUAGUAUUAUCUUGAUUUUUUACUGUAUUGUAUAUCUUCCUAAAAAAGUUUCUCCUAUCCUUUUGAUUGCAUUUUUAAUUGCUAACCACAUUUGCCACGUGGUAAAGUUUCUCCUACCCUUAUCUAUAUUUGUUUUGCUAUUUCUCAGACUGCAUAAGACGACAUGGACAUCCGAUCUGACCAUUGAGUUUCGUGCAUGCAAGUAGAAAGCGAUGAGAAGAUCUUUACUAAACGGCUAUGAAUGUCAUCUAAAAAAUAACUACUCCCUCCUUCCGGUAUUAAAUGUGAGAUCUACUUUUGUUAUCCUCAUACGACAUCUACUUUUGUUACCCUCAUCAAAUACAUAAGGGUGAAAGCAGAUCGUAAAUUGGGUCGAUGCUUCUGAGUUUUGCAAAACAUUUUGAAUUUUCUAAUCUAGCAAUAAAUGUGUAUGACAAGAAGUCUUCCUGCUUCAAACUAUGCGAGAUGUUUUGCAACAGCCGCGCAUUAGAGCAAACAGGCAGAAAUCUUGAUUUUUGCAGCAAAUUUUUUUUUGCUAGAAGGCCAAGGCCCAUAUAUUAAAUCAACCAACCCUUACAGAACCAUCUUUAAAGUAAAAGAAAAUUACACGCAAGUUCUUGUGGGUAAACGUGUUGUCUUCCUCCUGCACUCGCUAGUGCCGCACCGUGAGCGAAGCUCGAUGUUGUCCCUGGACCUCUGAACCGAAACAGAGCCAGAAAAACGUUGUUGACGUAGCAGCUGGAAAAUCGCCGGUCGGAGUCAGAAGAAGCCGGCGACAGUGAUCUGAGAAACAGACCACCGUCCCGGAGAAGUAUAUGUGACGAAGAGAAUUGGAUGACCAUCCUAGAUCCUGUCAGACAGAUAUGAGUAACUCCACGAUGAAGCCGAACGUGGCCUAACCUCGCCGAUUGGAACAUGAAUCAAUAAACCAAGGCACAUAGACUGCCUGCAAAAAAACAAACGCCAACCUAGAUCCACCACUCCAGAAAAGCAGCGACCAAUUAAUCGCCCCGUACUCCUCAACGCCAUCGACGAGAUCGCCGUCGAUGAGGCGGGUGAGGAGUUGAGAAAACCUUUUUCUCGAUCCCCACAGUGCCAUCAUCAGCACUAUAGCGCCGUUGCCGGUUAACCAAAUCCUAACUUUUAGGGACUUACUAAUUCACCAAGCAAAGCAGCUACAAGUAGAGGAGGUAGGGAAGCCGGCCGGCCGAAUGACGGAUCCGAUCUGGCUGCUGACCGAUAGGGCACGGGAGGCGGGAGUCGGAUUUGUUAUUCUCCUUUUCCUGCUGCAUAUGGUUUGCCUAGGGUGAAUUUAGGUUGAUCAGCAAGGACAACCGACACCUGUGAAUCGUUGCAGAUCCUUCUAUAAAUUUCUGAUUGUUGCUCGUCUGACGAAAACGACACCGACGAAUUUGAGAUAGCCCAGUUGUCUUCUAGGAUUGCUCUAGCUGUGCACAUUAUAAUUUGUCGGCACCUUCAAAGCAUGCGUAGUUAUGUAAUUUAUAUGCACACCUCAUUUUAGUCGUCUUGUUGAAAAAAAAAUAUCAUUCAAUAUAAAAAUAGUUAUUUUUGAAUCGGCAACGAUAAUCGUGGGAUCAAGAUGUUCUCAAUUCUUUGGUAUUCGCAUGCAUCUCAAUAUUGUCUUUGGUGUCAAACUUGGAAAAAUAGCUGUUCCCUCAAACAAAUAUCAAAACCCAAACCCAAAAAAGGUUGUACGCGUAGCCUCGAUCGAUCAUGCAUGUGUGUGUACACAAAUGUACACUGUCCUCGGUCCAUCCACUUGCCGACCGAUGACUUGACGAAUGGCGACGAAAAUAACUAAGCAUGUGUUUCUCCGUGACCAGUGCAUGGAUGCAUAUAUCAUUGAUCUCGACAACGCGAACUGUGCGUGUGCAUCAUAUGCAUAUGUAUGCAGACUAGAUCGCGUCCGUACCGGGUCGCGCGCAUCGAUCUGCUGUCCUAUAGGACAUGUCCAUCCAAUGCAACGGACGUCCGGCCAUGAUCAAAAGGGCCCAAUGCAAUUAAGCGUCAAAUCAUGUACUCCGUACUCCUUUCCCUGUGCGUGUUGCCCCAGUAAUAUAACCCGGCUUACAGCCAUCUGGGAAGAAUUAGGAUACAUGUACGUGUGAAGCAGGCGAUGCCACGUUCCCCGGACAACCCCAUGCGUGCGUCCAUUGUAGCACAAGGGGGACCCUUGGACGGCUCUGGAACGCUAACGGUGGCAUGCAUGGAUCUGGAUGGGAAGUACACUGGUACUUACACAGACGAUAAACUGCAGGAGGGGUAGCUAGGAAUAUAGCUCGAUCUGCAUUGCAUAUCGAUCUCGAUGUAAUAACCGUGUGGCAGCAUGCAUGCAGCUGGCACGACCGUACGUACGUCGAGUUCCGUGCAUGAAAGGGUGGUGUGUCCUCGAUCGGUCGAUAUUACAUCGGUCGAUAUUACACGAUCAAUUGGUCGCUGGCUUUGUGAUUUGAGCAGUCGUCGUGUGUAGGGGCCAUGCAGGAGCUAGCUAGCUAGCGACGCGUUGUUCUUGUUGCUGCAUGCUAGCUGUUCAUGAUACAUGGCCCCGGCCCCUUUCAAUUCUUUUCUUCUUCUGUUACGUCAGGUCAAGUCCCGACCGACUCGCGACGCGUGCUCUUCGCGUAUAUAUACAUGCAUGCAUGAUGUAUGGAUGGUCUUUGAUAUUUGAUAUGUUCGAUCAGAUGUCAGCUCUGACGCGCGCCGUACGUGCGCGCGUACACCUUGUCCAAGUAAUACUGCUAUAGUACUUUGUCCUUUUGCAUGCAUGCAUGCAUGGGAGGGAUUGGGACGAGGACGUGCAUAUAUAUAUACUUCUCUUGUGUCUGAUCCGACAAGAUCGCUCUCUCCUGUUCCCUUUUUCACGUCCCUGCAGGACCAGGACGAAAGCGAGACUGUUUGCUAGAUCCAUCGUCGACCCAUGCAUUCUUGGCCAUAUAUAGCGCUCUCUUCGCUUUUUCAGCUGCGCGCGUGCGCGUGUAUUCUGGCCGGCCCGGCCCGGCCCAGCUAGCUGUGCAGCAACAAUCCACAGGUCAGCAUAUAUCCUGCCGACUCUCCAAGCUGUCGCCGUAUCCACAACCAGCAUAUAUCCACACAUACAGACGCCCGCACGCACGCGGUUGCUCCAUCGUUUCUACGGAGUAAUUUGAUCACAGCUAGAGAAGCAGAGCGAUCGAGCACCGGCGCGCGGCAGCCACGACGUAGAAAUAAUGCGACUGUUCAAAGAGCGGCUCUCGUUUCUGUACCGCGGGACAACGGUGCCUGAUUUUCAACAUCUUCUACUUCAGCCAGAAGACCUGCAGGUUAUAUAUUUGUUCCUGGAAUAAUUAUUUACCAUCGAUCGUCCAGCUUGUGGGACCGGCUUCACUAGCUAGGUAGCUGUUGCUGUCCAAAAAGAUUUUGAUCAGAUCUUAGCUUUAACCACACGUCGGCCGCUGUCUAAUUGAGAGAGGCCACCGAAUAAUAUAUAGUUGAGUCGACGACGGUGACAUAUAUGCAUGCAUGCUACUGCGCCGUCUACGCACGUACUCAUAUGCAUGCUUCUGCAGGCUAUACUUCCUACUCAGCUCGCUAUAGGCAUGCAUCUACGUGUACCUAGCUAGCUAGCUAGCUAUAAUCAGGGAAGCUUUAAGCUAAGCCUGGUUAUGUGUAGUGCGUCUGCCUUAUAUAUAUGCAGCUCCAAUAAUUCGAGUCUGCUGAUUGAUCUCGGAUUAGCAACUAAACUAACGUAGUACAGUAUCUCGUCGGUAAUGCAUGGGAGAUCUGACGUUAUUACUCCUACGUCAAUGGAUUGACCUUUACUUGGGGAGGAUGAAACCUCACCUACUUUUACAUUGACUUUAUCGUAGGCAACGAUAACUACACAUGCAUAGAUGAAUUUGGAAGAUAUACACACUAUGUGUUAGUUGGUCCCGUGUGGACAAGAGGUAGUUCAGAGUGCCCCGGCGUUUUAUGGGCCGGCAGGCCGGUGCAUUUCUUCACAUCGAGCAAUCAACCAUUGAUCAUCUCCGCACAACAUGAGAACCUUUUUUGUUAGAACAACAGCAUGAGAAGUCAAGCCUUGCUCCUUUGUCAAAAGAAAAACAAAACUCUCGAGUUGUCACGUCUCGAGCAGAGGAUGCAGGGACCCGCCAUUGCUCGCUAGCUGGCCGACACGAGAGUUCCGGUGGCGGCUAGGUUACGUGACAAGAGGAUCGUAUCGAUCGUAUAACAAGGAUCGGUUUUGGCUACUUGACUUACUUAGCACCAUAUAUUAUACAAUCAAAAUCAGAGAGGAACAAAGCAAGCGUUGAAUUACAAAAAGAAAAGCUAGCCCUCUAGAAUUAACAAAAUAAAACCCAUACUUCAACUUCAGUGAUUCAGAGCUCUAUAUCCCCCCCCCCCCCCCCCCCCCAAAAAAAAAAAAAAACUGGUGGGAUGGUUGUCUCCGGACACAAUUAGAGUCUGCAGAAUUCUUCAUGUCAAUUAAAGUCUAUGCAUGAUUGGAUUGGGCUCUAGUAUCUGAAGUCAGGACAAAAGUUUGUUGCAGGCAGAAGAAGAAUUAGAGGGAUUAGGGUUAUUUUUCCAAAGAAGAGGCGGUGGACUAAGCUAGAGCGGACGUGCAAAUGCAAAAUUUACCGAGUGCUAAGCUUAUGCGCGUGGUUUUAAUCUGAUGGCCAACACCGAUGCAUAUAAUCGGGUGGAUUCAUGGGUAUGUUGCCUAUAAAGAAAUCAAGGGUUCAUGGUAAUAGGAAACCUAAUAGGGUGUCAAUCGAGCUAUCAAUCCCCGAGUAUAGAUGCCCAACAGGCCGGCCGGCACGGGAUAAACGGACCUGGCCGGUGAAGCCCGAGAAUAGAGGGGCCGGGCGGCCCCAAACCAUGUCCUCCCGGCCCAUGCUUGGCACGAAGCCCAGUCAGGCCAGCCUGGGCCCGUUAAGCCCAUCUCCAUAUAGGGCCCAGCUAAGAAAAAAUUAAAAUAAGUUCAGAAUGGGGCAAAAUGGGACAGAUAAUGGGCAAAAUUGUUGGGCUUGACAAAAAAUUUGAGGAUUGAUAGGCCAAAUAUAAGAAAACUAAAAAAUAAAAUUAUAUAUAUAAGGGCUAUGCCGAGCCAGCCCGGGGGCCUGAGAUUGAGGCCCAGACGCAGCACAGGCAAAGCCUCGGGCCGGCCCAAUUAAGUUUGUGCCGGGCCAAGCCCGCCGGACUUUCUAUGUCCUCGACGGACGAUGUGAGAAGCCAUUAUUCCGGCCCGCCCACUUUCCCCAACUCAUUUUCAACCUACGAGCCGAGCCGAGCCGACGGUACGAGCCAAGUAGCCAACCGCCCUGUCCGAGUUCUGAUCGAACUCCUAGGAUAAAGUCAUAAAGUCGAAUCCUAGGGUUUCUCUCGCCCUCUUCCGAUCUCUCUCGCCCUCUUCCGAUCUCGCGCGAUUCCUUUCCAUUUCGCUGCCGCCUCCACCAUCCACCAUGGCCGCCGCCGUAGAGUCUCCCCUUCCCCGCGCGAACUCCACCUGGUAUGCAAUCGACGGCGCCCUGACUAUCGUCGCGGCGGAUGACCCCGUCGAAAUCGCGGUGCGGCGCGACCGCGUCGCGAAGAGAGCCCGUGACGAGCAACCCGAUGAGGUCGAGGCCCGUGGAUGGUCGUCGGCCAUCCCGGACUACAUCACGUCUCUGCGCCGCCGCCGAGGUACUCCCCCUUCCUCUUUUUACCGUGGCACCACUCUCGUCCCCGUCCCUGUCCCCAUCCCCAGCCCCAGUUCCCAUGGCACCAGAGUCUCCGUCACUGUCCCCAACCCCAGCCCCAGUUCCAAUGGCACCACAGUCUCCGUCACUGUCCACAACCCCAGCCCCAACGGGCAGAGCACGGUCGUCAGUGAAGCUGAAGGCAAGGACGUGGCUUGCUCUUAUACAGAAUAUUUAUAUUUGGCCUUCCUAUAAUUGAAACCUACCUAAUUAAGGUUUGUUAUGGUUCUUUUCCAAUGUGUCAUGCUUAGAUCCAUUUCAAUCUAUUCUAAAAAACAAAAACACAAAAAAAUGGAAAUUUCUGGUAGGGUUCUAAUAAGUAUAAUCCUGUUACAAGUGUUACCGAAUUGGUCGUUAGUGAAGCUGAAGGCAAGGCCGUGCCUUGCUCUUAUACAGAAUAUUUCUAUUUGGCCUUCCUAUAAUUGAAACCUACCUAAUUAAGGUUUGUUAUGGUUCUUUUCCAAUGUGUCAUGCUUAGAUCCAUUUCAAUUUAUUCUAAAAAAAAACACAAAAAAAUGGAAAUUUCUGGUAGGGUUCUAAUAAGUAUAAUCCUGUUACAAGUGUUACCGAAUUGGUCGUUAGUGAAGCUGAAGGCAAGGCCGUGCCUUGCUCUUAUACAGAAUAUUUCUAUUUGGCCUUCCUAUAAUUGAAACCUACCUAAUUAAGGUUUGUUAUGGUUCUUUUCCGUUGCAAUUUAUUCUAAAAUACAAAAACAAAAAAAUUAUGAAAAUUUGUGGUAGGGUUCUAAUAAGUACAAUCCUGUUACAAGUGUUACCGAAUCGAUUCAUUCUUUGAUUCAUUACUCCUUUUCAUAAAUCAAAUUCACUUAAAACUUGUGAAUUAGCUAUCAAUCAUAUCUUACUUUUUAUUAUUCUUAUCUACAGGAAAAUGUCUUAUCAUAGAUGACAAUAGUAACAGUAGGGAUAUUAGAACUCUGGAAUUUCUUUAAAGAUGACUUGCAUGCUGCUUUCUAGUUCACCAGCGUGUUAUAAAUUGCUCAAAUAUAUUUACCAGCAAAGCUCUUGGCGAUUAAGUUGUUGUUACAUGUGUAAAAAAUGUUUCUUUUACAUAUGUGUCAAUAUCUCGAAAAGUUUUUCCUUGACUUCAGGCAUUAACAUACUAGGAUAUUAAUUGGGGUUUGACCUCACUAUUUUUCAAGGAAAUUUUCUUGCCAAACUGCACUGCUCCAUUUCCAAUAUAUGCUUUUACUUAAAAUUUAGGGUAACUAAGAAAAAAAGAAGGAUAUCUGUUUUCAUUACUUUUCAGCAGCUGUACAUAUCUGUGCUUGUUUUAGGAGUUCUUAUUGCACUGGUUAUUUACAGGAUUGUACCUUUCCAUAUAUAGACAAUAGCAACAUUAGGGAGGAUAGGAACUGUGUGAUUUGCUUUGAUAAGUCUUUCCUUCUGCUAUCUUAUUCACCACAUCUUUGUAGAACUAUGCAUUACUUGCAAAAUUAUAUUUAGUUUCAAAAGUUCUUGAUGGCUCUUCGUUUGUUUUGCAUAUACAAAAAAAGGGAUAUUAGACAUAUGUGCCUAUGUCUUCAAAGGACUUUUCUUGACUUGAACAUUAGCAAGCUAGAAAAGAUAUCUGCGUUUGAACUUCACUCUUUCCAAAGGUCAUUAUCUUUACAAAUUGUGUUGCCCCAUCAUAUGCUUUUAGUUUGAGUUUAGGUUGGGUAAAAACUACAGAGUAUGUAGCAUCUUUAUAUCUUAGUUUUGUCAUUGUUCUGUUUAGCAGUUCUCUAUAAGGCAAUACAAAUGCUCAAAAUUCAUUCUGAGGUAUUUGCUUCUACUUAGGAUUCACCUGCAUGUAAGAUGAUUGAACCUUAUUUUAUUGGGUAACAUGUAAUAGUCUAUGCAAUAUGCUACAUCUUGUCCCUUUAGUCAAGUUACUCACAAUAAAAAAUGCUUCUAUAGCGUGAGAUGCAGCAACCUCACAUAUUUUUGGAACUGCAUGCUUUGGUUUAGUUUGUUAAUGUUUCCUCUAAUUUGCUGAGAUCCCUAAGAAGGCUAGUGUCGCUCUACUCCAGUACUUCCAGUCUUGACAUGGCUCACAAACCACCACUUAGUCUAGUACUCCCUCCGAUCCUAAAUUCUUGUCAUGGUUUUAGUUCAAAUUUAGGAUCGGAGGGAGUAGCUAAUUGUUUUGCUAGAAGAACUAGCUAACUGCAUGCAUAUCCUAUCCCACAUGAAAAAAAUAAAAUCAGUUAGCAUUAAGAUUCUCUUGCUGUAAUGUGACUCCUUAGGAACUUAUUAUAUAAUUGCAGUCGAUUAAAAACUAGCACCGAGAAUUAUUUAAACAUUCUGUAAAGCUUAAUUAAACUAGUGCCCACUAAUUUCUGUAAAUCCUUACUUGUCCUGGAAAGCUAGCUUUCUAGGAGAUAGCUAGCUAGCCAUGCAUUCAUGAGGCACAGCCAAGUUAAUUAAUUAGAUACUUGCAAAGAAAACGGAUGUCAAUUAGAGAGAGUUGUAUAUACCCAGUGUGCAUUUUAAUCUUCAGCUGUUGUCUUGUUUCCACACAAGCUUACUACUGUUCAUACUGAAGUAAAUUGAUUGUACUCUGGCAGUGUUUUAUGUAGGCAAACGGUACAAAAAAAUAUAUUUCGUAGUAAAUUAACUGUACUCUGUAUCCUGGCAGUGUCUUUUUUGCCUCUCCUGUACCUUCAUGGUUUAGAUAGAAGUCAGAAGAUUUUUUCUGAAGAAAAUAUGAGGUUUGUGUUAAGUAGAGGGGGAGUUAUUUCGGCUCCUUAUAAAAAGAUUUAGACAUGGCUGGAAAAGAUUUCCCUUGGUCUAUCAUAAUUUUUGCAGCACUUGGAUGUUCAUUUGCUUCGGGCUAGCAAGCUUUACUGGUCAGAUCAUCCGAAGUUGGUUGAGUGGAAUAUAUUGGGGGGCUCUGUCAUAAACAUUCUGUGGUAGAUAACAAAGAUUGUUUCGUUGUGAACUGUUGACAUGCUCAUGAUGGGUAUGGUGCUAUUUGGUAUCACUUUGUGGUCUGUUUAAUUUCAAGAUCUGAAAAUUGACAGAACUUGUUUUGUUUGCCUUCUAAGAGUAGUAAUUGAAGCUGGUUGAUGUUACCGAAAGGAUUCUAUAAGUGUGCAUUUGAAGUGCUCUGUCUGAAACUUCUUUCAAGUACAUUAAGCUAUAAUGAAUUUUCGUGUUGUCUGCGCUGAUCUAGUGUUGUUGAUCCUUUCUUUGGAAGUACUGGAAUCUCCUGAUCGUGAUGUGGGUUCGACUUCUUUCCAGGAGUACUAGCGUCUUCUGCUAGUUUGCAUGCCAAGUGUUGCGAUAGUCUUAUAGCUUACUGAUUUGUGUGUAAUUUAUGUUGUACAUAAUUGUUAGUUCAGCAAUCUUCCUAGUGUUGGUAAGUGUAAU
rnacentral:lncRNA from 1 species